ACUCCUACGGGAGGCAGCAGUGAGGAAUAUUGGACAAUGGGUGAAAGCCUGAUCCAGCCAUCCCGCGUGAAGGACGACGGCCCUAUGGGUUGUAAACUUCUUUGUAUAGGGAUAAACCUUUCCACGUGUGGAAAGCUGAAGGUACUAUACGAAUAAGCACCGGCUAACUCCGUGCCAGCAGCCGCGGUAAUACGGAGGGUGCAAGCGUUAUCCGGAUUUAUUGGGUUUAAAGGGUCCGUAGGCGGAUCUGUAAGUCAGUGGUGAAAUCUCACAGCUUAACUGUGAAACUGCCAUUGAUACUGCAGGUCUUGAGUAAGGUAGAAGUGGCUGGAAUAAGUAGUGUAGCGGUGAAAUGCAUAGAUAUUACUUAGAACACCAAUUGCGAAGGCAGGUCACUAUGUCUUAACUGACGCUGAUGGACGAAAGCGUGGGAGCGAACAGGAUUAGAUACCCCUGGUAGCGACUGA
rnacentral:rRNA from 1 species